UACGUAGGUGGCAAGCGUUGUCCGGAUUUACUGGGCGUAAAGAGCGCGCAGGCGGUCGUUCAAGUCGCGUGUGAAAGCCCCCGGCUCAACUGGGGAGGGUCACGCGAUACUGAUCGACUCGAAGGCAGGAGAGGGUAGUGGAAUUCCCGGUGUAGUGGUGAAAUGCGUAGAUAUCGGGAGGAACACCGGCGGCGAAGGCGGCUUCCUGGACCGAUACUGACGCUGAGACGCGAAAGCGUGGGGAGCAAACAGG
rnacentral:rRNA from 1 species